CACUUUAACAGGGAGUCUCAUCUCUGAAGAACAGCAUUCUGGAUAUGAAAAUGCUGAUGAACCUUUAUCAGCAGAACAGAAAGUCACACCUGGAUACUAUAACGAUGCCAUCACAGAUGGACCAACAGCAGAUCGUCGGACAGCAGACGUCCCAGAGAAUUAUGAUGAUGUCAUCAUUAUUAAACAGAACACUCAUGCUAUAAAUGACUAUGAGAAUAUGGGAAAGAAGACUAAAGAAGAGGGAGGGUCUGUUUGACUCGAUGACCACAGCCACCGCCCAUUUUCAUCAAAAUUAUAUCAAGUGUCUGACAUUUAAUUGAUUUGAUAUUGCUACUAAAUCUGCAAUGCCUGCUUUCUGACAUAAAUAAUUUUUUUCCCGGAGAGGGAUUAGACUAGUCCUAGACUAAAAUAAAUGUAAGAGCUGUCCAAACUGAAAACAGCUUGGACUGACAUAUCUUAAAAUACAUCAGUGCCCUUUGUUUUGUCUCAAAAUGCACACAAGUAAUGUUUUUAGCAAGACAUGUUUGUUAAAACUAGUUAUAUUUCCUAAAUAAACUAAGGCCUAGUCCUGGCUUAAGCUAAACCCUGUCCGGGAAACCGCCCCUUAAUGUUUUAAACCUUUAGAAUAUCAGCUUAAAGUGCUUUAUUAAUCAGUUUAGCAGCUUAAAACAUAUUUUAAUAUUUAGUAAAUCAGCGUAUUACUUUUAUAUUACUUUCAGUGCCUUUUUGAUUUAAUAAACAAACCAAAGUUUAAUUGUUUAUGUUUUGGUUUUAUUUACAACAAGUAUUCAUUAUAAACCAAGUAAUUUGCGACAACUGUACAUCAAUCAAAGCACAUUUUUUUGAAUAAUGGUGCAUGUUAACCAAACAGCAGUCUUAAUUGAUGGUUUGAUUUACUUGCGCUGAGCUUGAAUCUUCUGAAGCAACAGCUCCAUCUGCAGGUUGAGGUUGGGUUGACCCUUUUUGGUUUUUCUUUUCAACAACUGAUAUUUGGCAAUUUUCUUUUCUUUGUAUUUUUUCAGUGCCUCUUCCCUUUGAGCUUUGUCUUUUAAGAAUUCCUGCAACAGACAUAAUAAAUCAUGGAUCAGUUAUUCACAAUGGAUGAUGAAAGUGUGUAUGUUUAAACUUUUGUAAUGUGUCUUCCUCCCUUACAUGAUAUAUAAGACAAUAUAUUGAGACAUAGCAAACAAAAAUGACACAAUUACAUCUUGGUAACGGUCAAUAAGGAGUGUGUGUGUGUGUGUGUGUGUGUGUGUGUGUGUGUGUGUGUGUGU